rnacentral:rRNA from 1 species
UACAGAGGGUGCAAGCGUUGUUCGGAAUCAUUGGGCGUAAAGCGCGCGUAGGCGGCCCUGUUAGUUCGCUGUAAAAAGUCAAAGGCUCAACCUUUGAAUGCCGGUGGAUACUGCAGGGCUAGAGUCCGGAAGAGGCGAGUGGAAUUCCUGGUGUAGCGGUGGAAUGCGCAGAUAUCAGGAGGAACACCAACGGCGAAGGCAGCUCGCUGGGACGGUACUGACGCUAAGGCGCGAAAGCGUGGGGAGCGAACAGG